rnacentral:rRNA from 1 species
UACGUAGGGGGCUAGCGUUGUCCGGAUUUAUUGGGCGUAAAGAGCGUGUAGGCGGCCAGAUAGGUCUGCUGUGAAAACUCGAGGCUCAACCUCGAGAUGUCGGCGGAAACCAUUUGGCUAGAGUCCGGAAGAGGAAAGUGGAAUUCCUGGUGUAGCGGUGAAAUUCGUAGAUAUCGGGAGGAAUACCAGUGGCGAAGGCGAGUCUCUGGACGACACCUGACACUGAGGCACGAAAGCCAGGGGAGCAAACGGG